GGUGAGAUGGCCGAGUUGGUAAGCAGCCCUGAACAACUAGCCCUUGUCAAUCACUAGUGCUAACAACUGUCAUAGGUUAUGGCGCCAGGUUAAGGUCCUGGUGGAGCAAUCCUCAUGGGUUCGAAUCCCAUUCUCAUCA
rnacentral:tRNA from 1 species